GGGAAGAAACAACUAAAAGCCAAAGUAGAUUGGAAUGUUAUCUUGCCCUUAAAAGAGAUUAUGAAUGAGCAGAAUAUCUCUCUACUGUCAGAGAUAGAAAGCAGAGACAGAUCCUAACCAAGUACAGGCUCAGUGACCACAAACUGCCGAUCCAAACAGGAAGACACAAAACAUCAUGGCAACCAAAUAAUACUAGAAACAUUUAUUUGAACAAGUUCAGCUCUUUGGUUCCAGAAAUCGGUGGUCCGAGACAGACGUUUGCGAUGCGAGUGCACCGGUAGCUUCAGUGUGCAUCCGAUGUAACUGCCGGCUAAAUGCGCAAUGUAUCUUUCUUUGCGUGUCUGCCUCGGUAAAACCCACGGUUACAUCGAUUAUUACAUAGUUUAUCUCCUCUGCACCCGUGUUUUCGAGGCGCCUUAAACGCACCAUCACUAUCUUUCUGUGCGGCAUCACAGACGCAGUUAGUUAGUAAACAGAAAAAAUGAGGGAAGCGACUCAACAGGUGAAGAGGAGAUAUUAAGCGUUAAUUAUUAAGCAGGCACUAGUAUGGGCAUUGCACUAUGAUGAAGUUAUUUUGAAGUUAUUUGCACAUUGUUGAUGUUGGGAAGUUUUAUAAGUAUUUUGUAAAACAUUGUGAAAUUACAGACAGAGAACACUAUUAGUAAAAGGACCUGAGACAGGACUGUUUGUUUUGUUAUUUUUAUUAAGAGGCCAAAAAGAAAUUGCCCGAAUAUAAUACAUUUAGUGUUGUAUAAGUAGAGAAUGAGAUUAAAAACACAUAAAAAUAUUUUUUGUUUAUGAUUUAGUGUUUAUUAGGAAUAAUCCUCUGUCUGUACCAUAUUGAAUCACAUCUUCUUUUUAAGUUGGAUUUAUUGGUUUGCUUUAUAGAAAACAAUCAAGUAUCAAAUACAUUAGAAACCAGAUGUGUGUUGGUAAAUUCUUUGUAUUGUGUUGAAUCGUUUGAAUCGCAUUGUAUAAAGUCAAAUCGUUGUCAAAUCGUUAAUGAAUCGUAUCGCAUCGUAUGGACAGGGGGCUCCACUGUAUCGUUAAUGUAUCGUAUCGCUGGCAGAGUAUCGAGAUGUGUAUCGAAUCGGCCUCAGUGGUGGGGAUUCACAUCCCUAAUACAUAUACAUAUAUUAUAUAUAUAUAUAUAUAUGUAUAUAUAUAUAAUAUAUGUAUAUGUAGUCACAUCUUAAGUUAGCUAAUGUUAGCAAAAUGCUAAAAUCCAUUAAAAAUAAGAAUUCCUUCAGUUUCAAAAAGGCCUUCACAGAACUUUACUGCUGGGGCCCUGAUCAUAAUUCUAUAUAGAGAGACAGAUUAUAUAUUCUAUAUUUAUAGAGACAGAUUAUAUAUAUAAACACAGAUUAAAUGAUAGAGAGACAGAUUAUAUAUAUUCUAUAUUUCUGACGUGGUGCUGC
rnacentral:lncRNA from 15 species